rnacentral:snRNA from 1 species
UCACUCUGGCUUCUCUUCAACGUAUGAUCUUUUACUAAAGAAUUCCGUGGAGAGGAGCAGUUCAAUGAGUCUUGAACAUUUUUCGAUAUCCGACUUUGGUCGAUU